rnacentral:rRNA from 1 species
CCUACGGGGGGCAGCAGUGAGGAAUAUUGCGCAAUGGGGGCAACCCUGACGCAGCGACGCCGCGUGAGUGAGGAAGGCCUUCGGGUCGUAAAGCUCUGUCAAAGGGAAAGAAAUGUAUAAUGGCUAAUACCUGUUAUAUUUGACGGUACCCUUAAAGGAAGCACCGGCUAACUCCGUGCCAGCAGCCGCGGUAAUACGGAGGGUGCAAGCGUUGUUCGGAAUCACUGGGCGUAAAGGGCGCGCAGGCGGUUUGGUAAGUCAGAUGUGAAAGCCCACGGCUUAACCGUGGAAGUGCAUUUGAAACUGCCAGACUUGAGUACCAGAGGGGAAAGUGGAAUUCCCGGUGUAGAGGUGAAAUUCGUAGAUAUCGGGAGGAAUACCGGUGGCGAAGGCGACUUUCUGGCUGGAUACUGACGCUGAGGCGCGAAAGCGUGGGGAGCAAACAGGCUUAGAUACCCCGGUAGUC